CAAAUAUUUGUUCCUUUCGUUGCUCAGGGUGAUUAAAGCCAACAAUUUAUUCUCUUCAUACCGCAGACCAAACCCGUUUACUCCAAAAAAGGAAGAAUGUUUGCUUCCUCAUUGCUCAGUUCAAGGGGCUGUCAUAUGCAUUAAGAAAACAAGUGAGCCAGAAAGAGAGGGAGAGAGCAGCGCGUGCUGUGGAUGUUUUCUUUACUCUGAAUCACUUAACGUUUUCCUGUUUCAAUGAUGGGACUUGUUAGUAGAGGACGAUCACUCUGGAAAUAUGUUCUGAUUUUUCUUUCUCUACAAAUCUGGGGAAGUCUUUCAGCAUCUACUUCCACAUCCUCUCCUCCACCCCCAAAGCUGGACAUCUACUUGAAUUUAGAGGAUGAUGUAAUUUUAGUCUGCAGAGCCCCCGAGGGUCACUAUGGACUUGUGUUCACACUGUAUCAGGAAAGAGAAGAGGUUGAUUCACAGUCCCUCCACUCAGAAGAAGCAGAGGUGCAGUUCACUGUCAGAAAAAGGGAAUCCAAAUCAGACCGACGUGAUCUUUUCUGCUGCCUGUACAAGAACCGGGAUGGUGUUUACAGUGGCUUCAGUACAUAUUUGGAAUUGACCCAUCAAACUGAUCCUGCCCCGACGCUGACAUCUUACCCUCCUCCAUUACUGUCUGUGGAACCGUCUACUGGCCUUGUUAAGCGUGGAGCCACGCUGUCCUUCAGCUGCACUGUCCCUGCUCACGCACUGCAGUCACAGUCUGACUCCAAUCAGCCAGUGACAUUCCUUCUGCUGAGGUCUGUGGAGCUUACUGUCGGAGCAUCUACUGUCCCACCUCCUGCUAGUCUGGUUUCAAACUCGCAGCCGGGAAUCUUCACUGUAAGUCCUGUGAGAGGAGAAGAGGAGGGCGAGUACUCCUGCGUCUACCAGAUCUCCAAAAGAAAAAGAUUAGUCAACUCAACAGUCAGUAAUGUGGUCAAAGUCACUGUUACAGAUGGCCUUCCUCUGCCCACCCUUGUUCUCCAGCAGCAGACAGAUGUGCUGUAUUUGCUCUGCAAAGGAUCUGCAGCAUAUCCCGGUGCUCUGUUCUCUCUCUUCCUGAUGCAUGACGAUGUACCCAUUGUUACACAGCGUAGCAAAGUGAUUGAGCAUCAAGCUACCUUUGCCAUUCCUGUUCAGGAUACACCACAGGCCCUGUACCAGUGCCAGUACAGUGUCCAACUAGGCGGGAAAUGGAGCUACUCGGAACGAAGCCAUUAUUUGGCUAUUAACAGAGGUUCAGAAAUCCCCACAACAACAUCACAAGAUGUGUCUGGUGUUGACUGGCCUCUGGUGCUCGGCUCUUUCUCUGCUGCAGUGUUGUUCAUCUCCUCAUUGGCUCUUAUAGUAGUCAUAGCUCACAGAAAAGUCAAAGCAGCAUCGCAAGAAAAGAAAAACAGGGAGCAGGCUCAAUUCUGGACCCACGUUCACUCUAAAGACCACGUUGUUGAUCUUACACUCAGUCGUACAAGUGUCACCUCUCAGGAAUGGAGCAGAGAGAACCACGAGUCAGCGUCCAGAUCCCCUCUGUGGAGCUCCCUGUCCACAUUCACCAGUCCCAUUCACUAGAGAUGUCUGCCCCCUCUGUGUAGAUACUUUAUGGGACUUUAUCAGUGUAGCAUCAGUUGGAGACACACAGCAGGACAGGAAGGAGUAUUUCCUCCGCUCAGUUCCUAUUCUCGCUUAGCAGUAAUGCAACCGGGCAGGAUGGGAUGCUUGUUUGAUCUCACACACUCACAAAUACAAAAUAUAUGAAUAAAGAAAUAUUUUUAUUUAACUUUUUAAAUGGU
ensembl:lncRNA uncharacterized LOC114468365